GUUGCACAAGUAAAAUGUACUAUCGAAGUGUUUAGUAAAGACGAUUAUGUAAGUUUAUGCAGGAAUUGACAUGUAUCUUGAUAGAAAAGUUGGAGGGUUUUGAGAAACUUAAGCUUGAGAAAGUCUGAUCAAGUAAAACCCAUACAGCUCCAUCAUGGACAGUUCACAACGAUUCAGAAAUGAAGAGUUUUCUCCAAGAUGCAGUUCAGUCCUGCAGGAGAGAUCAAAACCAGAGUCCAGCUCUGUGUCAAUGAAGAGUGACCAGUCAAUGGAUGAGCCAAAACAAUUUAAGAGUGGAAACACACAACCUAGUCUCAGGUAUGCAAUUUCUAUUAUAAAUGUUUUAUAGAAUAUAUAUGUGACC